rnacentral:tRNA from 1 species
GCCAGCAUGGUGUAGUGGUUUGAGCAUUGGACUAGGACUCUAGAGACCAGUGUUCGAAUCCCAACUCAGCCA